rnacentral:tRNA from 1 species
GUUGUUGUAGCUUAAUAUAAAGCACGGCACUGAAGCUGCCACGAUGGCUAUGAACCCAACGACA